GACGAACGCUGGCGGUGUGCUUAACACAUGCAAGUCGAACGAUGAACCGGGUGCUUGCACUUGGGGAUUAGUGGCGAACGGGUGAGUAACACGUGAGUAACCUGCCCUGGACUCUGGGAUAACCCCGAGAAAUCGGAGCUAAUACCGGAUAGGACCUUUCCUCGCAUGAGGUUUGGUGGAAAGUUUUUCGGUCUGGGAUGGACUCGCGGCCUAUCAGCUUGUUGGUGAGGUAAUGGCUCACCAAGGCGUCGACGGGUAGCCGGCCUGAGAGGGUGACCGGCCACACUGGGACUGAGACACGGCCCAGACUCCUACGGGAGGCAGCAGUGGGGAAUAUUGCACAAUGGGCGCAGGCCUGAUGCAGCAACGCCGCGUGCGGGAUGACGGCCUUCGGGUUGUAAACCGCUUUUAGUAGGGAAGAAGGGCUUCGGCUUGACGGUACCUGCAGAAAAAGGACCGGCUAACUACGUGCCAGCCGCCGCAGUAAUAC
rnacentral:rRNA from 1 species